GGAUGCGAUCAUACCAGCACUAAAGCACCGGAUCCCAUCAGAACUCCGAAGUUAAGCGUGCUUGGGCGAGAUUAGUACUAGGAUGGGUGACCUCUUGGGAAGUCCUCGUGUUGCAUUCC
rnacentral:rRNA from 1 species